rnacentral:rRNA from 1 species
UGCAAGUCGAGCGGUAACAGAUCUAGCUUGCUAGGAUGCUGACGAGCGGCGGACGGGUGAGUAAUGCAUAGGAAUCUGCCCGAUAGUGGGGGAUAACCUGGGGAAACCCAGGCUAAUACCGCAUACGUCCUACGGGAGAAAGGGGGCUCCGGCUCCCGCUAUGGGAUGAGCCUAUGUCGGAUUAGCUAGUUGGUGAGGUAACGGCUCACCAAGGCCACGAUCCGUAGCUGGUCUGAGAGGAUGAUCAGCCACAUCGGGACUGAGACACGGCCCGAACUCCUACGGGAGGCAGCAGUGGGGAAUAUUGGACAAUGGGGGAAACCCUGAUCCAGCCAUGCCGCGUGUGUGAAGAAGGCCCUCGGGUUGUAAAGCACUUUCAGCGAGGAAGAACGCCUAGCGGUUAAUACCCGCUAGGAAAGACAUCACUCGCAGAAGAAGCACCGGCUAACUCCGUGCCAGCAGCCGCGGUAAUACGGAGGGUGCAAGCGUUAAUCGGAAUUACUGGGCGUAAAGCGCGCGUAGGUGGCUUGAUAAGCCGGUUGUGAAAGCCCCGGGCUCAACCUGGGAACGGCAUCCGGAACUGUCAAGCUAGAGUGCAGGAGAGGAAGGUAGAAUUCCCGGUGUAGCGGUGAAAUGCGUAGAGAUCGGGA